GUGCACCAGGCGCGAAACCUCCGCAAUACACGAAAGUGUGACGGGGCCAUCCCGAGUGCCGUCCGCUGAGGACGGCUUUUCCCCAGUGCGCACAGCUGGGGGAAUAAGGAGAGGGCAAGCCUGGUGUCAGCCGCCGCGGUAAUACCAGCUCUCCGAGUGGUGGGGACGCUUAUUGGGCCUAAAGCAUCCGUAGCCGGCUGGGCAAGUCCUCCGUUAAAUCCAACGAUUCAAUCGUUGGGCUGCGGGGGAUACUGUCCAGCUUGGGGGCGGGAGAGGCCGACGGUAUUCCCGGGGUAGGGGUGAAAUCCUAUAAUCCCGGGAGGACCACCAGUGGCGAAGGCUGUCGGCUAGAACGCGCCCGACGGUGAGGGAUGAAAGCGUGGGGGAGCGGAACCGGAUUAGGAUACCC
rnacentral:rRNA from 1 species